UUCAGCGAACUAGGUUUUUUUUUUCAAGUUUCAAAAUGAUCUUCUGUUUCAUUUGACCAUGGAAACGUCAAAUUUCGGAUUACGUAACCUCGGUGAUGAAUUUAAAUAGUAAUGAUUUUAAUUAAUUGAGAUGCAUCAUUGCAAUUCGCACAUUGCAUGGUAUAUCGGCAAAUUUCUACUGGGAUUUGCGGGAAUUUUUUUUCUUUAUUCUGGUUUUUUACAAGCGAAAGACAUCACAUGUUUAUGCAAAGCAGCAGCUAGACAAUGGAAACGAGAGGGUGACCGAGAAAACUCGCCACUGCGGUGCGGUUGCAAAAGAGGGCGGAUGCGUGAAUUGCCCUGCGGCUGCAAAACACCAAAGAAGAUCAACCAACAAAAAACCAAGAAAACUCCGGAAAAAACAAUCCCCCCUUCCUGCAACUGUUCGGAAAGACGUUGAUAAAACGGCCAAGUGUCUGGAAUACAUAAAACAACAACAAAACUACUGUCUCACACAACAGAAUCGCAAAAACAGACGGAAAAAUAAUCUCCACUGUGGAAAAAUUCCCGCGAUUGAAUCCCGAAAUCAAAUCUGCAACUCCUGUCUCUUGCGUCAGAAAGUCAUCAUCAAAACUCGAGAAACUCCUGAGAAUAAUGGAACCCAUCAGGGUGAACUACAAUCUGCAACGGAGUCAGAAGAAUUCCUCACCAAAUCAUCCACAAAAUUACAUUUCUUCCUGAAGUUCUCCAAAGACGAUUUUUCAGUCGAGAAAUCAUCGGAAAAUGGUUGCGAGACAUCGAUCUAUCUAAAAAAAAAUCGCAAUUUGCACUUAAUUUCGUCCUUAAGUCCGUGGAGGCGAAGAAAGCCGAGUGAUUCACCAGGAAAUUUCGUCGUGUCCUGCGACAAACGCAUCAGGUCCUUUCGAAUAAAAAAUAUGAAUCUCCAUCACUCACUCUCUCCAAACCUGAAGAAUGUAAUAUAAAAAUUUUUAACUCACGUGUGACGUGUCGACAAUUAUUUUUAACGCUUUAAAGAUUUCUGUUCUGGAAACGUUGCGAGAAUAUUCAAAGUCGAUUAAUCCACGUCGUGCGGUGGAGUGACACUUCUAUAAGUAGAAUUUCUUCCGUUGAAACUUGACAUAACUCAUAUUCACAUUAUUUUGCGUCUGGUCAGAGAAGACGAGGGAGUUCUCGCUGUCUAGUUGAGUUAACGAGGAUACUCUUCGAGAUUAAUUGUUCGAGUUGUUAUCGAUUUCAUUUUUAUUUAUUCUUCUGAAGUUUUGACUAUGAGGAAGUUGAAAGAAUACAAUUUUAGAUGGAUGAAAAUUUUUUUUCUCCAGAAAACCAAGUUUAUUUAAUGUUCCAAAAAGUAUUUCGAUUUUUUUUAUAUAAACCUUAAAACAAAUUAAAAAUGUUCAAGUCACCUAUUGGUACUUUGCAGAAAAAAGUACAACUUGACUCGAGAAUUUCUCUUUGCAAUUUUAAUCCCAGCUCCAGUCUCUCAUUCCUAAUUGUAAGAAUCCAAUCUAAAUGUCAUAAUUGACCUGUGGACAUUGUAAUCCAUAACUCUAUCCCCACCAUUGCCAAUUCCCACUGCAACCUUUGUCCCCCACCCCCACCACUCAGGGCUACAAUUCCCUUAAUCCGCAGGUAUAUUGAUCACGUGGUCACGCCUUCAUUUUAUUGGUCAUCCACGGAGCCCCCUGAUUGGCGGGCACAUGGGGGGGGGGGGUAGACCGGUGGGGGGGGCGGUAGUAUAAAAGGGGUCAGCGCGCGAUCCGCUGUCAUUCUGCAAC